rnacentral:rRNA from 1 species
CGUAGGUGAACCUGCGGAAGGAUCAUUAUUGAUUGGUCGAAAGACCUUAUCAGAUUCUACCACCUCUGUGAACCGUUGACCUCCGGGUUAAUAAUCAAACAUCAGUGUAAUGAACGUAAGAGUAUCUUAAUUAAACAAAACUUUUAACAACGGAUCUCUUGGCUCUCGCAUCGAUGAAGAACGCAGCGAAAUGCGAUAAGUAAUGUGAAUUGCAGAAUUCAGUGAAUCAUCGAAUCUUUGAACGCACCUUGCGCCUUUUGGUAUUCCGAAAGGCAUGCCUGUUUCAGUGUCAUGAAAUCUCAAUCUAAUAUGUUUUCUGAACAUGUUAGGCUUGGACUUGGGUGUCUGCCAGCAAUGGCUCACCUCAAAUGACUUAGUGGAACAUCCCACAUCAGUGUUAGACGUAAUAAGUUUCGUCUCUCCUUGUGGUGAUGACUGCUCAAAACCUGCCAUCGCGCACCUUUUGACUUUGACCUGAAAUCAGGUAGGGCUACCCGCUGAACUUAAGCAUAUCAAUAAGCGGGAGGAAAA